CACCUGUUCCCAUGCCGAACACAGAAGUUAAGCUCUUUAGCGCCGAUGGUAGUCGGACUUACGUUCCGCGAGAGUAGGACGGUGCCAGGU
rnacentral:rRNA from 2 species